AUACAGAGGGUGCAAACGUUGUUCGGAAUCACUGGGCUUAAAGCGCGCGUAGGCGGCGACAUCAGUGUCUUGUGAAAGCCCCCGGCUCAACCGGGGAACUGCAGGGCAUACUGUGUUGCUAGAGUACGAGAGGGGAGAGGAGAACUCCUGGUGGAGCGGUGGAAUGCGUAGAUGUCAGGAGGAAUGCCGAAGGUGAAGACACCUCUCUGGCUCGUAACUGACGCUAAGGCGCGAAAGCUAGGGUAGCGAACGGGAUUAGAAACCCCAGUAGUCC
rnacentral:rRNA from 1 species